AAGGGAGACCUAAUUCAGGUAGGAGACGAAAAAAUAGUAGUCCCAACCAAGAAUCAAUCCCAAAAGGUCGGAGCGAGGCGAAAUUGGCUUUCAAACUAGGUUCUGGGUUCAAACAAGACCUGAAUCAGGAACAAGGGCUAUUAGCUCAGGUGGUUAGAGCGCACCCCUGAUAAGGGUGAGGUCCCUGGUUCGAGUCCAGGAUGGCCCACCUGCACAGGUGGCAAAAACAAAGAAGAGAAGCGAGGAAUCAGCACCUUAUCUUAUCUAUAGAUAAGAGAGAAUGCUGGCUCUGAGUUCAGAGUCCAGAGGAACCUUGAAAACUGCAUAGAGCUAGGUGAAAAAGCCAAAAAAGAAGACCGCAA
rnacentral:tRNA from 1 species